GACUCCAGUUCUGGCUGCCCGCGGGCCUCUUUCCAACCAGCCAGGCCUCACAGAGCAAGGCAUCCCCACUGGAGAGAAUUCGAUCUGAUGUUUCAUAAAGCGCUUUAUUUAAGGAGAAGGGGCAUGGUCUGUGCUGCAGAAAUCAGAAUUUGUAGCGGCAAAGAAAACAAAGGAGAUAACAAUUGUAAUCAUAAUGACCCUCUUUAUGAAAACUCAUCUUGA
rnacentral:lncRNA from 1 species